GUUACUUUUUUCGCUAUCUUUCAUUUUUUCAAUUCCUUACAAGGUAUGUUUGUCCCACUGCGCAGUAUAGUUCUACAGCGCCGUGCGGGUCACGGAGUACGAAUAAAGUAACAGUCAGUAUGACCGGCGGCGAGAAAAAGUAGUUUGAAUAUGACUAUACGUUGAGGUCACCGGUGACCCCCAUGGCGCUAUGAUAGAGGAAGGGUGAGGUCAUCGGUGACCCCCAUGGCGUUUAGCGUGUUAAAUGAACUCAAUCAUGUGACUGUCCACAGAAUAACAGCCGGUGAAGAGAAUGUCCUAUUUCAUUUUGUACAACUGGAAUCAGAGAAAGCAGUUUUGAUAGCGCCAAUGAAAACUAUCGAAAUGCAAGCGAACAAUGUUUUAUAUUCUUACAUUGUUGCUACUUUUAGGAAGUCUUGUAAGAAGAUACACGAGUUACUGCAAUAUAGUAUGAAAUUUAAAAAGAACCAUGCGCCAUCAAAUCCGUUAAAUAAAAUCCUAGUGGCAGUCAGAGAGUAUGGCAGCUUGUUUGAAGUACCUCCUGAUGUUCUCAUUCAGUGUGGCAUCAAUAAAAAAAAUUGUGAACCCUUUCUGUUUUGGGUUGUCGGGUGUGAAACAAGUAUAAAGCAGUAGAAAACAUAAUCAAUGGAUUCACAGAAAUAGAAUUUGAAUAAAGAUAAAAUUUUACAUUCUAUUCAUAUUUAAAAGAACUAAGUGUUGAACUAGAACUUAUGACCUUUUGCCGAUUGCUGAAAAGUAAAUUUACAACAAAAAUUGAUGAAAAUAACAUAAAAAUGAAUGAUUGCACCUCUUCAAGUUCUACAGAAUUAUUAAAUGAAGGAAUCUGCUUCAGAAUUACUGACUGCAUGUCGCUGCAACAUCUGUGUUACAAAGUUUGAUUGCUUGAAAUAUUGUAAUUCUACUGAAUUUUGAAAAAUAACUUAUUAUAUGGAGUAGUUUAACCGCAAAUCUAAAAAAGAGUCACCAUGUUGCAGGAAAUGCUAGUAACUAUAUUAAUGUCAAUAUUGAUAUAUAGAUGUGUAACCUAUACAUUAUUUAUAUUAUAAUUUAGUGUUUUAU